UACAGACGGUCCAAACGUUAUUCGGAAUCACUGGGCUUAAAGAGUUCGUAGGCGGUCAGGAAAGUGGGGUGUGAAAGCCCUCGGCUUAACCGAGGAAUUGCGCUCCAAACUCCCUGACUUGAGGAGGCUAGAGGUAAGCGGAACUGAUGGUGGAGCGGUGAAAUGCGUUGAUAUCAUCAGGAACACCGGAGCGAAGGCGGCUUACUGGGGCCUUUCUGACGCUGAGGAACGAAAGCUAGGGGAGCGAACGGG
rnacentral:rRNA from 1 species